rnacentral:rRNA from 1 species
AGGGCAGCGAAACCGCGAGGUCAAGCAAAUCCCAUAAAGUUGCUCUCAGUUCGGAUUGUAGUCUGCAACUCGACUACAUGAAGCUGGAAUCGCUAGUAAUCGUAGAUCAGCAUGCUACGGUGAAUACGUUCCCGGGUCUUGUACACACCGCCCGUCACACCACGAGAGUUUGUAACACCCGAAGCCGGUGGAGUAACCUUUUAGGAGCUAGCCGUCGAAGGUGGGACAAAUGAUUGGGGUGAAGUCGUAACAAGGUAGCCGUAUCGGAAGGUGCGGCUGGAUCACCUCCUUU